rnacentral:rRNA from 1 species
GGAUUUAUUUGNGCGUANAGGGCUCGUAGGCGGUUCAACAAGUCGGUCGUGAAAACCCGGGGCUCAACCCCGGGACGCCGGUCGAAACUGUUGUGACUAGAGUUCGGUAGAGGUGAGUGGAAUUCUCGGUGUAGCGGUGGAAUGCGCAGAUAUCGAGAGGAACACCAGUAGCGAAGGCGGCUCACUGGGCCGAAACUGACGCUAAGGAGCGAAAGCAUGGGGAGCAAACAGGAUUAGAUACCCUGGUAGUCCAUGCCGUAAACGAUGAACACUAGGUGUGGCGGAUUCAUUGACAUCUGCCGUGCCGUAGCUAACGCAUUAAGUGUUCCGCCUGGGGAGUACGGCCGCAAGGCUAAAACUCAAAGGAAUUGACGGGGCCCCGCACAAGCGGCGGAGCAUGCGGCUUAAUUCGAUGCAACCCGAAGAACCUUACCUGGACUUGACAUCAUGGGUCUACCUGUAGAAAUAUAGGGUGCUUAUGCGCCCAUGACAGGUGGUGCAUGGCUGUCGUCAGCUCGUGUCGUGAGAUGUUGGGUUAAGUCCCGCAACGAGCGCANCCCUGUNCUAUGUUGCCAGCACGUAAUGGUGGGGACUCAUGGGANACUGCCGGGGAUANCUCGNAGGAAGGCGGGGAUGACGUCAGUCAUCAUGCCCUUAUGUCNAGGGCUGCACCCAUGCUACAAUGGGUGAUACACGGGC